rnacentral:rRNA from 1 species
GACGAACGCUGGCGGCGUGCUUAACACAUGCAAGUCGAACGGAAAGGCCCUGCUUUUGUGGGGUGCUCGAGUGGCGAACGGGUGAGUAACACGUGAGUAACCUGCCCUUGACUUUGGGAUAACUUCAGGAAACUGGGGCUAAUACCGGAUAGGAUCUCCUGCUGCAUGGUGGGCGUUGGAAAGUUUCGGCGGUUGGGGCCGGGCUCGUGGCGUAUCAGCUUGUUGGUGGGGUAGUGGCUUACCAAGGCUUUGACGGGUAGCAGGACUGAGAGGGUGACAGGCGACACAGGGACUGAGAGGAGGCCGAGACAGCGAAGGGAGGCAGAAGUGGGGAAUAUUGAAGAAUGGGCGGAAGGCGGAUGAAGAAACGCCGCGUGCGGGAAGACGGCCUUAGGGUUGUAAACCGCUUUCGCCUGUGACGAAGCGUGAGUGAAGGUAAUGGGUAAAGAAGCACAGGCUAAAUAAGGG